UGCUGGAGGUAUCAGAAGUGCGAAUGCUGACAUAAGUAACGAUAAAGCGGGUGAAAAGCCCGCUCGCCGGAAGACCAAGGGUUCCUGUCCAACGUUAAUCGGGGCAGGGUGAGUCGACCCCUAAGGCGAGGCCGAAAGGCGUAGUCGAUGGGAAACGGGUUAAUAUUCCCGUACUUGGUGUUACUGCGAAGGGGGGACGGAGAAGGCUAUGUUGGCCGGGCGACGGUUGUCCCGGUUUAAGCGUGUAGGUGUGUGUUCCAGGUAAAUCCGGUUCACUUUAACACUGAGGCGUGACGACGAGGCACUACGGUGCUGAAGCAACAAAUGCCCUGCUUCCAGGAAAAGCCUCUAAGCAUCAGGUAACAUCAAAUCGUACCCCAAACCGACACAGGUGGUCAGGUAGAGAAUACCAAGGCGCUUGAGAGAACUCGGGUGAAGGAACUAGGCAAAAUGGUGCCGUAACUUCGGGAGAAGGCACGCUGACACGUAGGUGAAGUGAUUUACUCAUGGAGCUGAAGUCAGUCGAAGAUACCAGCUGGCUGCAACUGUUUAUUAAAAACACAGCACUGUGCAAACACGAAAGUGGACGUAUACGGUGUGACGCCUGCCCGGUGCCGGAAGGUUAAUUGAUGGGGUCAGCGCAAGCGAAGCUCCUGAUCGAAGCCCCGGUAAACGGCGGCCGUAACUAUAACGGUCCUAAGGUAGCGAAAUUCCUUGUCGGGUAAGUUCCGACCUGCACGAAUGGCGUAAUGAUGGCCAGGCUGUCUCCACCCGAGACUCAGUGAAAUUGAACUCGCUGUGAAGAUGCAGUGUACCCGCGGCAAGACGGAAAGACCCCGUGAACCUUUACUAUAGCUUGACACUGAACAUUGAGCCUUGAUGUGUAGGAUAGGUGGGAGGCUUUGAAGUGUGGACGCCAGUCUGCAUGGAGCCGACCUUGAAAUACCACCCUUUAAUGUUUGAUGUUCUAACGUGGACCCGUAAUCCGGGUUGCGGACAGUGUCUGGUGGGUAGUUUGACUGGGGCGGUCUCCUCCUAAAGAGUAACGGAGGAGCACGAAGGUUGGCUAAUCCUGGUCGGACAUCAGGAGGUUAGUGCAAUGGCAUAAGCCAGCUUGACUGCGAGCGUGACGGCGCGAGCAGGUGCGAAAGCAGGUCAUAGUGAUCCGGUGGUUCUGAAUGGAAGGGCCAUCGCUCAACGGAUAAAAGGUACUCCGGGGAUAACAGGCUGAUACCGCCCAAGAGUUCAUAUCGACGGCGGUGUUUGGCACCUCGAUGUCGGCUCAUCACAUCCUGGGGCUGAAGUAGGUCCCAAGGGUAUGGCUGUUCGCCAUUUAAAGUGGUACGCGAGCUGGGUUUAGAACGUCGUGAGACAGUUCGGUCCCUAUCUGCCGUGGGCGCUGGAGAACUGAGGGGGGCUGCUCCUAGUACGAGAGGACCGGAGUGGACGCAUCACUGGUGUUCGGGUUGUCAUGCCAAUGGCACUGCCCGGUAGCUAAAUGCGGAAGAGAUAAGUGCUGAAAGCAUCUAAGCACGAAACUUGCCCCGAGAUGAGUUCUCCCUGAGACUUUAAGUCUCCUGAAGGAACGUUGAAGACGACGACGUUGAUAGGCCGGGUGUGUAAGCGCAGCGAUGCGUUGAGCUAACCGGUACUAAUGAACCGUGAGGCUUAACCUUACAACGCCGAAG
rnacentral:rRNA from 1 species